CCUACGGGUGGCAGCAGUGAGGAAUAUUGGUCAAUGGACGAGAGUCUGAACCAGCCAAGUAGCGUGAAGGAUGACUGCCCUCUGGGUGGUAAACUUCUUUUAUAAAGGAAUAAAACGAGGCACGUGUGCCUUUUUGUCUGUACUUUAUGAAUAAGGAUCGGCUAACUCCGUGCCAGCAGCCGCGGUAAUACGGAGGAUCCGAGCGUUAUCCGGAUUUAUUGGGUUUAAAGGGAGCGUAGAUGGGUUGUUAAGUCAGUUGUGAAAGUUUGCGGCUCAACCGUAAAAUUGCAAUUGAUACUGGCAGUCUUGAGUACAGUUGAGGUAGGCGGAAUUCGUGGUGUAGCGGUGAAAUGCUUAGAUAUCACGAAGAACACCGAUUGCGAAGGCAGCUUACUAAACUGCCACUGACAUUGAUGCUCGAAAGUGUGGGUAUCAAACAGGAUUAGAUACCCCAGUAGUC
rnacentral:rRNA from 1 species